rnacentral:tRNA from 1 species
UAAAUGGAGGCCAAAAAGAGGCGCCUAGCUGUUAAUUAGGAGAGUGUAAGAAAUGUUUACCCAUUUAG